rnacentral:rRNA from 1 species
UACAGAGGUCUCAAGCGUUGUUCGGAUUCAUUGGGCGUAAAGGGUGCGUAGGCGGCUCAGUAAGUCAGGUGUGAAAACUCCAGGCUCAACCUGGAGACGCCACUUGAUACUGCUGUGGCUAGAGUCCGGUAGGGGAGCAUGGAAUUCCUGGUGAUAGCGGUGAAAUGCGCAGAUAUCAGGAGGAACACCAGUGGCGAAGGCGGUGCUCUGGGCCGGAACUGACGCUGGAGGAGCGAAAGCGUGGGGAGCAAACAGG